CUUGGUAGGGAAGAGUAAUACUGUGGCAGAAACAAUGAACCGAUGAAGGAGAGCCAGUCCUACAGUUGCAGAGGAAGGCCGGACAUGCUGCUCAAUGGAUUGGAGACUCUUUCAAAAAGGCUACUACUGCAUGUCAGCUGAUAAGAUGUCCUGCACUGCACUGCACUGGGAUGGGCUCCCACCUGGUGGUGAUUGAUACAGAAGCAGAGCAGACCCUGCUCCUUAUGGAUAGCUGGCAACCUUGAUAAAGUUAAAAAAAAAACAAACAGUAAGUGUUGAUCCUUUUCUUUCCUUGAAGCUAUCUUUUGAGUGACCAGUCCCAACCCUAGCCAACUCACAUCCUAUGCAUGACAGUAUGGUACUAGAAAGAUGUGAACAAAUGCUGCUUAACAGGCAUGUAAGUGG
rnacentral:lncRNA from 1 species